rnacentral:lncRNA from 1 species
UAGUCUACCAAGGGGUUACCUAGGUGGUAGAUUUGUAGGCGUGGGAGAUCGUAAGACCAAGAACUUGAAUGGUAAUACAGAGACACAAGGUUUAGAUAGGUUCGGGCCUUCGGAGAGUAAUACCCUACAUCCUAUGUUCUGAUGGAUUGUAUUGCUGAUCGCAGGUGCGAAGAGUUAACGUGAGAUGGGAUGAGUUACCCUCGGGGGGCGCCCCUGUCCACCUUAUAUAGGCUGACGACCUAGGGUUACAAUCGGAUAGGAUCUAAUCCUAGUCGGUUAUUACAUGGAAAGCAAUCUGAGUCGGUUUACAACAAGUAUCCCAUGAUAUCCA